GACGAACGCUGGCGGCGUGCUUAACACAUGCAAGUCGAACGGAAAGGCCCAGCUUGCUGGGUGCUCGAGUGGCGAACGGGUGAGUAACACGUGGGUGAUCUGCCCCUAACUUCGGGAUAAGCUUGGGAAACUGGGUCUAAUACCGGAUAGGACAAUCGUUUAGUGUCGGUUGUGGAAAGUUUUUUCGGUUAGGGAUGAGCCCGCGGCCUAUCAGCUUGUUGGUGGGGUAAUGGCCUAUCAAGGCGUCGACGGGUAGCCGGCCUGAGAGGGUGGACGGCCACAUUGGGACUGAGAUACGGCCCAGACUCCUACGGGAGGCAGCAGUGGGGAAUAUUGCACAAUGGGCGCAAGCCUGAUGCAGCGACGCCGCGUGGGGGAUGACGGCCUUCGGGUUGUAAACCUCUUUCGACAGGGACGAAGCUUUGGUGACGGUACCUGUAUAAGAAGCACCGGCUAACUACGUG
rnacentral:rRNA from 1 species